rnacentral:rRNA from 1 species
AGUGAACGCUGGCGGUAGGCCUAACACAUGCAAGUCGAACGGCAGCACAGUAAGAGCUUGCUCUUACGGGUGGCGAGUGGCGGACGGGUGAGGAAUACAUCGGAAUCUACUUUUUCGUGGGGGAUAACGUAGGGAAACUUACGCUAAUACCGCAUACGACCUACGGGUGAAAGCAGGGGAUCUUCGGACCUUGCGCGAUUGAAUGAGCCGAUGUCGGAUUAGCUAGUUGGCGGGGUAAAGGCCCACCAAGGCGACGAUCCGUAGCUGGUCUGAGAGGAUGAUCAGCCACACUGGAACUGAGACACGGUCCAGGCGCCUGCGGGAGGCAGCAGUGGGGAAUAUUGGACAAUGGGCGCAAGCCUGAUCCAGCCAUACCGCGUGGGUGAAGAAGGCCUUCGGGUUGUAAAGCCCUUUUGUUGGGAAAGAAAAGCAGCAGGUUAAUACCCCGCUGUUCUGACGGUACCCAAAGAAUAAGCACCGGCUAACUUCGUG